rnacentral:rRNA from 1 species
UGAGUACGAGAUGCUACGGCAUCGAAGCAGUCUAUGUCAUACUUCCAAGAAAAGCUUGCACUGUCAGAAACAGAUAAUGCCUGUACCAUAACCGACACAGGUGGGUAGGUAGAGUAUACUAAGGGGCGCGAGAUAACUCUCUCUAAGGAACUCGGCAAAAUGACUCCGUAACUUCGGGAGAAGGAGUGCCUUAUUUUUAAGGUUGCAAUAACAAGAUCCAAGCAACUGUUUACCAAAAACACAGGUCUCCGCUAAGUCGUAAGACGAUGUAUGGGGGCUGACGCCUGCCCAGUGCCAGAAGGUUAAAGAAGUCGGUUAGCAUUCGCGAAGCUGGUAACUGAAGCCCUGGUGAACGGCGGCCGUAACGAUAACGGUCCUAAGGUAGCGAAAUUCCUUGUCGGGUAAGUUCCGACCCGCACGAAAGGCGUAAUGAUUUGGAUACUGUCUCGGAGAGGGGCUCGGUGAAAUAGACUUGUCUGUGAAGAUGCGGACUACCUGCACCUGGACAGAAAGACCCUAUGAAGCUUUACUGUAACUUGAAAUUGAAAUUGGACUUUAUUUGCGCAGUAUAGGUGGGAGGCGUUGAAAAUAUUCUUGCGGGAAUAUUGGAGCCAUCAGUGAGAUACCACUCUUGUAAUGUUAGAUUUCUAACUUUAUAUCAUUAUCUGGUUAAAGAACAGUUUCAGGCGGGCAGUUUGACUGGGGCGGUCGCCUCCCAAAUGGUAACGGAGGCGCACAAAGGUUUCCUCUGAACGGGUAGAAAUCGUAUCUAGAGUGUAAAGGCAUAAGGAAGCUUGACUGUGAGACCUACAAGUCGAGCAGGGACGAAAGUCGGUCUUAGUGAUCUGACGGUGCUGAGUGGAAAGGCCGUCACUCAACGGAUAAAAGUUACUCUAGGGAUAACAGGCUGAUCUCCCCCAAGAGUUCACAUCGACGGGGAGGUUUGGCACCUCGAUGUCGGCUCAUCGCAUCCUGGGGCGGUAGUACGUCCCAAGGGUUGGGCUGUUCGCCCAUGAAAGCGGUACGCGAGCUGGGUUCAGAACUUCGUGAGACAGUUCGGUCCAUAUCCGGUGUAGGCGUUAGAAUAUUGAGAGGAGCCUUCUUUAGUACGAGAGGACCGAGAAGGACAUACCUCUGGUGUACCAGUUAUCGUGCCAACGGUAACCGCUGGGUAGCUAUGUAUGGAGUGGAUAACCGCUGAAAGCAUCUAAGUGGGAAGCCCACCUCAAGAUAAGUAUUCUC